GCCCUCUUAGCUCAGCUUGGUCUAGAGCACCGCGCUUCCAACGCGGGGACAUCGGUUCAAAUCCGAUAGAGGGCU
rnacentral:tRNA from 2 species